UGUUCCUUCACUGAUAUGUUGUCUUUGUUUUGCAAGUCAGAUUUUACUAUUUGCUGUUGCAAGCAAGUCCUCAAAAUUCUGCCCAUCUUUAAGGAAGCAGAAAAGCCAUUUAAGGGAAAGAGAAGAGGCCGUCUAAGGGGUCCCGGAGUACCCGGAUUGUCUUCGUCGGCGUUGUGGGUGUGCCUCGACCGCAUCUGCUCCGCUAGCAUUACUCCACCGACACCCUAGGAUGGAGGACCGUGAGUGGAUGUACACGCUCCGGAGAGAUGCGAAGGAUUUCGACUUGCUGUUUAUACACAUGGUCGAAGGUUUCUUGAAUCAAGCAUUUGUCGAGAGUGCACACGGCCAUUCUCUAGUUGUUUGUCCUUGCAGUAGUUGUGACAACAGAAGAAGGAAAGAUAGGAGAACCAUGGGUAAACAUAUUGUGAAGUUUGGAUUUACUCCAAGCUACCACCGGUGGAUCCACCAUGGUGAAGUUGAUCGUAUCAGAGAGGAGGUGGUGAGACCUCGACUUGAUUUGUGCAGCCUCCAUCGGCGGGUUCAAACGCUCAUCAGACAUCACCGGCGGUUGAUCCCGUCAAUCCUUCACCGACGUCCGGGAGGCCACCCUUUGAGUCUUUGCCACAGUAGCUAUGUUGACUUUUUAAUAAUAGACUUGUCAUGUUGAACUUUGAUGCAUUUGUGAUGGUCACACUAGCCAUGUUGAACUUUGAUGCAUUUGUGCGGGACUUGUCAUGUUCAACUUUGAUGCAUUUGAUGUCUUCGCCACAGUACUUGUCAUGUUGAACUUUGAUGCAUUUGUGCGGGACUUGUAAUAUCGAACUUGUGAUGUUCAACAUUAAUGGAUUUUCGAUGGAUUGAUGAAAUAUGUGAGUGCUUGUGAUAUAUAAUGUAUGCUGGUGAUAUAUUC